rnacentral:misc_RNA from 1 species
GUGAAUUUAUGGGAGUCCCUCUUAACCGGAGAAGGCCCAAUCCACUAUCUUUUCAAACCCUAGUGCAUUUGUCCCCUUUUUUAAUUACCUUUAACCCUUUUGCAUUCGAAAAGGUUGUUGUGCGAAACACAUUUGAUAAAUGAAAGAA